UAGGGAAUCUUGCGCAAUGGGCGAAAGCCUGACGCAGCCAUGCCGCGUGAAUGAUGAAGGUCUUAGGAUUGUAAAAUUCUUUCACCGGGGAAGAUAAUGACGGUACCCGGAGAAGAAGCCCCGGCUAACUUCGUGCCAGCAGCCGCGGUAAUACGAAGGGGGCUAGCGUUGCUCGGAAUUACUGGGCGUAAAGGGCGCGUAGGCGGAUGUUUAAGUCGGGGGUGAAAGCCCAGGGCUCAACCCUGGAAUAGCCUUCGAUACUGGACAUCUUGAGUACGGGAGAGGUGAGUGGAACUCCGAGUGUAGAGGUGAAAUUCGUAGAUAUUCGGAAGAACACCAGUGGCGAAGGCGACUCACUGGCCCGUUACUGACGCUGAGGCGCGAAAGCGUGGGGAGCAAACAGGAUUAGAUACCCCCGUAGUCC
rnacentral:rRNA from 1 species